AGUGAAAUUGCUGGGUUGUAUGGCAGUUGCAUGUUUAGUUUUUUAAGAAACUGCCAAACUGUUUUCCAGAGUGAGUGUAGCAUUUUACAUUCCCAUCAGCAAU
rnacentral:pre_miRNA from 1 species